ACACAUGCAAGUCGAACGAAGUUACACAGAGGAAGUUUUCGGAUGGAAUCGGUAUAACUUAGUGGCGGACGGGUGAGUAACGCGUGGGAAACCUGCCCUGUACCGGGGGAUAACACUUAGAAAUAGGUGCUAAUACCGCAUAAGCGCACGGAACCGCAUGGUUCCGUGUGAAAAACUCCGGUGGUACAGGAUGGUCCCGCGUCUGAUUAGCCAGUUGGCAGGGUAACGGCCUACCAAAGCGACGAUCAGUAGCCGGCCUGAGAGGGUGAACGGCCACAUUGGGACUGAGACACGGCCCAAACUCCUACGGGAGGCAGCAGUGGGGAAUAUUGCACAAUGGGGGAAACCCUGAUGCAGCGACGCCGCGUGAGUGAAGAAGUAUUUCGGUAUGUAAAGCUCUAUCAGCAGGGAAGAAAAUGACGGUACCUGACUAAGAAGCCCCGGCUAACUACGUGCCAGCAGCCGCGGUAAUACGUAGGGGGCAAGCGUUAUCCGGAUUUACUGGGUGUAAAGGGAGCGUAGACGGCAUGGCAAGCCAGAUGUGAAAACCCAGGGCUCAACCUUGGGAUUGCAUUUGGAACUGCCAGGCUGGAGUGCAGGAGAGGUAAGCGGAAUUCCUAGUGUAGCGGUGAAAUGCGUAGAUAUUAGGAGGAACACCAGUGGCGAAGGCGGCUU
rnacentral:rRNA from 1 species